rnacentral:lncRNA from 1 species
AGGCCUGUGCAGCCACUGAUUGGCUGUGGGGUAGACGCACAACGUGCGAGGCGCGCGGGCUGGGCCCAGGGCGACAGCGGAGCCUUCACACCGCUUUCUCCGCGCGCUGAUGGAGGAUUCCUGGCCUCACAGCAGUGCCUGGCCUGUGGGCGUCCCCGGCAGUCCUCGGCUGCGGGACCUGUAUCGGGACUGCGCAAAGUGGGCUUCCAGGAGAGCAGGGCGUCCCUCAGUCAGCUGACCCCUUGGAGCGUGGGGCAGCCCAGGCCCGUGAGGCCGCCAGUGUCACCCUCAGGCCCGCGAGGCCCCCGAGCCCCUUGUGGGGUCCAAGGCCCAUUCUGGAUCAGUCACGAGGCAAGACCGCGGACCCUCAGGAGAUCACCAGGAGCCCGCCGCGCAUUCCUCCGCCUCCACCACGCCAGUCACCUGCUCAGCCCGAGGGCAGCCAGCGGCCGUCGCCCCAGUGAGGCGGCCGGUGAGGAGCUGAGGCCGUGACCAGGGCAGCGCCCCGCGAGUCAGCGUCAGUCCCCGCGCCAGCCAGUUCCUCAGACAAUCAGCUCACCAUUCCCAUCGCGUAUGCUGGGAAAUCAUCAAUAUACCCGCUGUCAUGGAAUUGCAGAAUCGUUAUCCAAAUGGCUUUGACUUUUACCACUACUCCCAGCCAUGCACCAGAAUUCCGGUAGCUGUACACCUUUAUUAACACUUGUCAUCUCAUUUUGCAACUUCUUCAAACAAAGCAUGAAGAGAGAAAGCAAAGAAUAGUGAAAUGAGCAAGCACAGCUUGGAGACUAAGGAGACAGGCUUUGAGCAAGGAGCUACAAACCAGAGACCACCAGCCAAAUCGGGCCUGCUGCCUGUUUUUACAUGGCCCACAAGC